UGCUUUUAUGCAGAAAGCUUGGUCGGUGACAUUGGCAAAGAAGUGGAUGACUUUUAUAUUUAGCUGCCUCAGCUAUAUGUGAUAUGACCUGCAGUACCUUUUCUAUUCAAGCAAUUACUUUUAAUUGGAGUUGGGAAUGAAAAUGAGUGUUGCAGUGAAAGAGGGGCAGUGGCCAUCUCUGUUUCUUAGCUGACGGAGUCUGAAGACAUUUCUGUGCUCAUGUGACCAGCGGGACUAUAUGCCAAGGCACACAAAAUGCUGUUGUCUUCCCACCAAAGUGCCAUCUUAACAAUUAAAAGAUCAACAAGGCAUUCAGAAAAAAAGAUCUGUUCCAUUUUAUGAAUGAUUCUUUCCUUUUGUCAGAAUGGAAGACUAUAUGUUGGCAAGCAAGAGCUUAAUGAAAG